UCCGUAGGCGGAUUGAUAAGUCAGAGGUGAAAUCCCACAGCUUAACUGUGGAACUGCCUUUGAAACUGUUAGUCUUGAGUUAUAUGGAAGUAGAUAGAAUGUGUAGUGUAGCGGUGAAAUGCAUAGAGAUUACACAGAAUACCGAUUGCGAAGGCAGUCUACUACGUAUAUACUGACGCUAAUGGACGAAAGCGUGGGGAGCGAACAGGAUUAGAUACCGGGUAGUCC
rnacentral:rRNA from 1 species